rnacentral:tRNA from 1 species
GGGCAUGUAGCUCAGUGGUAGAGUGCUUGCCUAGCAAGCAUGAAGCCCUGGGUUCGAUUUCUCAGUACCA